rnacentral:rRNA from 1 species
UACGUAGGGUGCGAGCGUUGUCCGGAAUUAUUGGGCGUAAAGGGCUCGUAGGCGGUUUGUCGCGUCGGGAGUGAAAUCCACUGGCUUAACUGGUGGCUUGCUUUCGAUACGGGCAGACUGGAGGUAUGCAGGGGGAGAACGGAAUUCCUGGUGUAGCGGUGAAAUGCGCAGAUAUCAGGAGGAACACCGGUGGCGAAGGCGGUUCUCUGGGCAUGUCCUGACGUGAGGAGCGAAAGUGUGGGGGGAGCGAACAGG